rnacentral:rRNA from 1 species
AGCGGAGGAAAAGAAACCAACCGGGAUUGCCUUAGUAACGGCGAGUGAAGCGGCAAAAGCUCAAAUUUGAAAUCUGGCGUCUUCGACGUCCGAGUUGUAAUUUGAAGAAGGCGACUUUGUAGCUGGUCCUUGUCUAUGUUCCUUGGAACAGGACGUCAUAGAGGGUGAGAAUCCCGUGUGGCGAGGAUCCCAGUUAUUUGUAAAGUGCUUUCGACGAGUCGAGUUGUUUGGGAAUGCAGCUCUAAGUGGGUGGUAAAUUCCAUCUAAAGCUAAAUAUUGGCGAGAGACCGAUAGCGAACAAGUACAGUGAUGGAAAGAUGAAAAGAACUUUGAAAAGAGAGUGAAAAAGUACGUGAAAUUGUUGAAAGGGAAGGGCAUUUGAUCAGACAUGGCGUUUGCUUCGGCUUUCGCUGGGCCAGCAUCAGUUUUAGCGGUUGGAUAAAUCCUCGGGAAUGUGGCUCUGCUUCGGUAGAGUGUUAUAGCCCGUGGGAAUACAGCCAGCUGGGACUGAGGAUUGCGACUUUGUCAAGGAUGCUGGCGUAAUGGUUAAAUGCCGCCCGUCUUGAACCACGGACC